AAACCAGCACCUCAAGUGGUCAGGAGGAUUAUUGGGCCUAAAGCAUCCGUAGCCUGUUCUGUAAGUUUUCGGUUAAAUCCACUAGCUCAACUAGUGGGCUGCCGAAAAUACUGUAGAACUAGGGAGUAGGAGAGGUAGACGGUAUUCGGUAGGAAGGGGUAAAAUCCUUUGAUCUAUUGAGGACCACCUGUGGCGAAGGCGGUCUACCAGAACACGUUCGACGGUGAGGGAUGAAAGCUGGGGGAGCAAACCGGAUUAGAAACCCCGGUAGUCC
rnacentral:rRNA from 1 species